GUUUGAAGUCUUUGUUUUAUUAUAUAAUAAAUAAAUGCAAAUUUGAUAACAAUAACAAUAUAAAAACACUUCAAUAGUGGUUAUUAUCACAAAUUAAAAUAAAAUCUGGUUAGCAGUCAACAAAAACACAUUCACAAUUUAACUCCACCAGUUUUUCAAUACGAAACAUUUGUACAAUGAUUUCAUUAAAAUAACAAAUACACCGAACUUCAAGGGAAAUUCAAAAUGGAAAGUCCCUUAACUAAGCAUAAUCUCAAAUCCAGUGAAGGAAGAAAGCUAGGUCAUUAUAUACUUAUAGAAAAAUUCUUUUUACCUCGUAUAUAUACUCAUCUAGCUUAAAAUCAUAUAGCUUGGUGUAAGGAUUAACGCAUCGCCAAAAAAACCAAACUCAAUUUGACGACCGUUUUGAUGAGAAUUUGAUGAGACUGUCGUACAAAGUGAGAGGUUUAGCGUUAUAAAACCAGGUUUACUCCACCAUUUUCUACAUUUGAAAAUGCUGUACUAAGUCAGGAGUAUUACAUUUGUUGUCCAUUCGUUUUUGAUGUGUUUCGUCAUCUGUUUUUGCCAUGUGAUUAGGGACUUUCCGAUUUGAUUUUCCUCUGAGUUCAGUAUUUUUGUGAUUUUACUUUACUAUAAGAGACAGAGAAUGUUGCUUUAUAUUUAUGGUUCAUUAUGUCAAAUCAUAAUAUAAAAACUGUUUGUUUACACACCUUCAUCACAUGUACUUCAUUUGUCCCCUCAACUUCGUUGAUUCAUAAUAUCAAUGAUUUACCAAAGUCUGGUAUUAUGUUGCUUAUUCGUGUUUGGAUGGUAAGCUUUAUUUUUUCCAAAAAUGAUUCACACCAAGAAGUAAAUCAAAGACAAACAAAACUAAGUAACUCCUAUACCGACACACUUAAAUUUUCUAUGAAAUGCUUGAUGAUUCAUAACGAAACUGCUUUGAUUUUCCUUGAUGAUUCAUAACGAAACUGCUUUGAUUUUCCUUGAUGAUUCUUAAAACUGCUAUCUUCGUUGUAGCAACCUUUGGGAAAUACAAAGAAUUAAAUGAACUAGUUCUAAUCGUCUUUGAAAAUAUGACAAUGAUCAAUGAAAAAAUAUCCUUUAAGGUUGUUGUAUAUCAGAUUCAUUUCCAAAAAUAUAUAUGGAUAUAAUUUUGUUAUGAAAUAAAUCUAAUCUGAAAACCACGAAUGUAUUUGAAAGACAUUAUGAACAUUAACUCCUUUUCAAUCACAGUAAACCUAAAUUGUACUCCAGUAUUCCUCAAACAGGAUUGGCAUUCAUUUGUUUUGAAGUUGCAUACACAUACUAACAGCGAGUUGUUAGUAAUAAGACUAAUUUAUUUCUUCUGUCUGCGUUUUUCUCUAAAAUGAUUUGAUGGAGUAACAACAUCUAACCCAACACCAUGAGCAAACAACAUUGAGUCUGUAAAGACGUGUUUUGUUUUUGGUGUAACGACAGGU
rnacentral:lncRNA from 1 species